UACGGAGGGGGCUAGCGUUGUUCGGAAUUACUGGGCGUAAAGCGUGCGCAGGCGGCUCCUUAAGUCAGAUGUGAAAGCCCCGGGCUUAACCUGGGAACUGCGUUUGAAACUGGGGGAGCUGGAGUGUAGAAGAGGGGGGGUGGAAUUCCCCAAGUAGAGGUGAAAUUCGUAGAUAUGGGGGAGGAACACCGGUGGCGAAGGCGGCCACCUGGACGGUAACUGACGCUGAGACGCGAAAGCGUGGGGAGCAAACAGG
rnacentral:rRNA from 1 species